GAUGAACGCUGGCGGCGUGCCUAAUACAUGCAAGUCGAGCGAAUGGAUUAAGAGCUUGCUCUUAUGAAGUUAGCGGCGGACGGGUGAGUAACACGUGGGUACCCUGCCCAUAAGACUGGGAUAACUCCGGGAAACCGGGGCUAAUACCGGAUACCAUUUUGAACCGCAAGGGUCGAAAUUUAAAGUCGGCUUCGGCUGUCAAUUAUGGAUGGACCCGCGUCGCAUGAGCUAGUUGGUGAGGUAACGGCUCACCAAGGCAACGAUGCGUCGCCGACCUGAGGGGGUGAUCGGCCACACUGGGACUGAGACACGGCCCAGACUCCUACGGGAGGCAGCAGUAGGGAAUCGUCCGCAAUGGACGAAAGUCUGACGGAGCAACGCCGCGUGAGUGAUGAAGGCGUGCGGGUCGUAAAACUCUGUUGUUAGGGAAGAACAAGUGCUAGUUGAAUAAGCUGGCACCUUGACGGUACCUAACCAGAAAGCCACGGUUAACUACGUGCCAGCCGCCGCGGUAA
rnacentral:rRNA from 1 species